UGGAAAUGUAAUCAUUCUUUGGAAACUCUGGACCCUGGCCUGGCCUCUGGACAGCAGGGUUGGCCAAUUUGAAGAAAGAAAGGAUGGUUGAUUGGCUCACAACUGUUGUAAGUAGAUCCGGAGGCAGCCUUGAACAUGUUGACCAUGAGCAGAAGAAACAGCCCGUAAGACCCUUGUUCCCCACAAAAAGAACACAGCUUUUGCUAUUUGCAAAUCCAGAAAGAGGAAUUUUAUCCUCAGAGGCUGAGGCCACAGCUCCUUUCCAGGGUUAAAUCAAAAUUCUUCUGUUGAGCCUUCUAAGGUCAGCUUUGGGUGAUCCAAGCACAAGUCAGAGCCUGCACCAGGGAGUUCAGGUCCAUCCAAAUAUGAAAAGGCUUCAUGGAAACAAAGUUCCCAUCCGGUCACCUGAGUUCUGCAUGACCUUCUCACAAGUCUCACCCACAGGAAAACCUCUGCCACAAGCUGGGUGUGUAAAGAUAUCUUUGCUACUGUCAUUAAGCACAAGCACAGACUCUGUGUCUUUGGGGACUGUUCCCAGAGCCUCAUGAGGAAGAAAUGCUAGCCUACACUCUGAAGACGGCUGUGCUAGGGCUUGCUCCCCACACUAGAUCGGAUGUGUCUUAGCUGCAAAGGAAGCUGGAGUCGGGAGAGCAUCCAGUUUUCAUUUAUGAAGGGUUUCUCUGUGUGGACCUGACCGUCCUGAAACUCACUCUGUAGACCAGGUUGAUCUUGCACUCGGGGAUCUGCCUGACUCUGCCUCCCAAAUGCUGGAACUAAAGGCCAACAUGACUUGGUGGCCAUGAACUGUAGCAAAUAUAGCCAGUGGUCUGCACUUGACUGCAGAGGUUGGUCCGGAGUAUCUCUUUAGAGCUGUGGUCAUUGCUCCAAGGAAGCGCUUCCUCUGUUACUGGAGAAGAGCAAAAUAACAGCACAGACUGGAAAGGGAUACGCCAUCAAGAUCAAAAGAGGGACCUGCAAGGCAGAGGACUCGAGGUGCCAAUUGUCGUUUGUGCCUGCUUGCAUACAAGGUUCAGAAGAAGUGGCUAAGUAUCGGGGCAGAGUCUGGCAAGUUCUCCACUUCGAUAGGUGAGACAAAGGUUUCUCUCAUUCUUCCACAGAGAUGUUUCUCCUGGCAAUGAAGAGAUAAAUUCAAAGUCCCAUUAUGGUACAGGAUGCCAGAAAUAAAGAAGAGUUGAGCGUAGACAAGGCUUAGUCUUAGACAAAAUAUUUAUACAUCGUGUUAAGGCUCAAGAAACAUUGAGGAAGAAGUUAUGGAAAGAAUGUAAGAGCCGCAGGGGAGGGAGGUUGUAAAAUGCCAUCUUCUGGGCAAGACAAGGCCGUGCCAACUACGAUUGCCUAACCUCGGAGGUUGUACUCCAGAACUUCACCUGUUCUGUUUGACAGAGACUAAUGAUGAAGUCCAGCCUACAAUCAAGAGAGGCUGUCAGGUGGGGCGGGACUGUGGGAGCUGUGUCAGAGCUUCGAAUACUGUGGAUAGGACAGAUCGGCUUCUCCUGAGAUAUGACAUCAAGGAAAGACCAGAGGAAGGAUCCCACUCCAGUCAGCUUGAUGGACAAAUGGAUUUAUUGUAAAUAUUUAUAGGAAUGUGGUGGCCACACAGAAGGAUUCGGGUGACCCCAAGACUGUCUCUGCAUUGUGAACACUUUGCCGCAGACCCCUUCCUUCAGUUAACAGUCUGUCUUCUAUGUGUUCUGGCAGCCAUGGAAGAUGAGACCUAGCUUCUUUUGCAAAUCUGCGUGAGCCAUAAGAGGACAAGAAUCUGGAAACACCUGGCCCAGAUCUCCAGCGACAGCAGCAGAAGCAGGCACAAGAGGGAGUGACUGCACUCUCACAGAUGAUCUGAUGAGUCCACUCAACCCUCCUCCUACAGACAACACCAGCAAGCCCAAGAGACCACAGAGAGAUGAUGUAUUCGUUUCCUUCACUGUGACCAAAUGGCUGAGGAGACUGAACCAGAGGACAUGUUUAUGUGGGCUCAGAGUCUCAGCUUUCAGUCCACAUUGCUCAGCCCUGCUGCUGUUGGGCCUGGGGGAGAAGUACACUAUGGAGAAAACGGUGCUGUUUCUCGGGAGCAGGAAGCAAGAGGCCUCAUAGCCCCUUCCAGGGGACGCUGGGAAGUUUUCUUCUUCUAAACCCUACUUACUGUGGGUCUCAUACCUCAGAAUCCUUGACCAUCUGCACCUGUAGAAGACAUUUAAGAUCUCAGCCUAACAGAUGCCAUGCUUAGAAACAAGACCUUUCUCCAGACCAACUCCUGAUCAGAUUCUAAAAGGACCAGGGGACGGUGAGGAGGAGGAUCGAACCAUUUGGAUUCACACAAUGCUUUACCAUAUCUCAUUUCAAUCUGAUGAUUUCAGCUAGUCGUAGCCCACUUCAUAAAGAAAACAAACUUUUAUGAAAAUGAAGACACUCAGUUUUGAGUUUCAGCUUAAAAAUGAGAAGGCCGGGAGUGGUGGCGCAUGCCUUUAAUCCCAGCACUCCGGAGGCAGAGGUGGGCGAAUUUCUGAGUUUGAGGCCAGCCAGCCCUGGUCUACAAAGUGAGUUCCAGGACAGCCAGAGCUACACAGAGAAACCCUGUCUCGAAAAACAACAAGAGAGAGAGAGAGAGAGAGAGAGAGAGAGAGAGAGAGAGAGAGAGAAAGAAAGAAGAAGAAGAAGAAGAAGGAGGAGGAGGAGGAGGAGGAGAAGGAGAAGAAGGAGAAGGAGAAGAAGAAGGAGAAGGAAGAGGAGUAGGAGGAGGAAGAGUAGGCAAAGGAGAAAGAGAAGGAGGACACCAUCUUGACAGCCUUGCCCACGUGUGACCAGUGCAGCCUGGGACCCCAUGGUUAGAGCGGCCUUGAGACUUGCUUAAUGAGCGGCUGCCAUCACCUGAGAAGUCUUCAUAAAUUUUAAACGGAUGGUGUCCACUUGGCCUGGAAUGGCUUGGACAGAAGGGCUGAGAAGAGCUGCCCCCUAUCAGUUCGUGGCGUUUCUUCAGGAGACCCUGGUGCUGCGCCUGCCUGCUUCCAGUAGAGCAAGGAGGAUCCACUCCCCUGUCCUAGCAAGAGAGUAGUUCUGGUGGCACAAGACAAGUGUGGUUUUCCUUUGGACUGUGAAAUGGGAGAUAAUUCUGCCAGCGGUUUACUUACAACUACUUAAAUAUCGGACCCACAAUUUUUAGUAUAAGUAGGAUUUGGCAUAUUCUUUCCAAAUAUGUCAGUGAUCUUUUCCAAAUCACUAACAAGAUGUCUCAGUACCAUUUACGGAGUAAUAGAUCCAUUCUUUGUUACUUUGAAUUUCUGCCAUGAGGCUCCUUAUAUUGUUGUCUAAAAUUGGAGUAUAUUGUGUUUCAUCGCUCUUUAUGUGCCUGAGUAUUUUUUUUUAAGUACAGCUCGUUGUAUUUCUCCUCUGAAUUGUCAACUUGAUUUUCUGCAGUGAGGAUGCUUGGGACGGUGUCUGGGGACGCGUGUAUCCUGGGCACCACUAAG
rnacentral:lncRNA from 1 species